AUGGUGAUGCCCAACCCGACCGCGGAGUUCCUACCUCGAUCUGAGAGGUUUUUUGGGUUUUUUGGGGGUUUUUUGGGAAUUCAGAGUGGGAUUUGUGGGAAUGGUGAUGCCCAACCCGACCGUGGAGUUCCUACCUCGAUCUGCGAGGGGUUUUUUAUGGAUUUGGGGGUUUUUUGGGAAUUUGGAGAGGGAUUUGUGGGAAUGGUGACACCCAACCCGACCGUGGAGUUCCUACCUCGAUCUGCGAGGGGUUUUGGGUUUUUUGGGGGUUUUUUGGGAAUUUGGAGUGGGAUUUGUGGGAAUGGUGAUGCCCAACCCGACCGUGGAGUUCCUACCUCGAUCUGCGAGGGGUUUUUUUGGGUUUUUUGGGGUUUUUUUGGGUUUUUUGGGGGUUUUUUGGGAAUUCGGAGUGGGAUUUGUGGGAAUGGUGAUGACCAACCUGACCGUGGAGUUCCUACCUCGAUCUGCGAGGGGUUUUUUGGGUUUUUUUGGGUUUUUUUGGGAAUUCAGGGUGGGAUUUGUGGGAAUGGUGACGCCCAACCCGACCAUGGAGUUCCUACCUCGAUCUGCGAGGGGUUUUUUAUGGAUUUGGGGGUUUUUUGGGAAUUUGGAGUGGGAUUUGUGGGAAUGGUGACGCCCAACCCAACCGUGGAGUUCCUACCUCGAUCUGCGAGGGGUUUUUUGGGUUUUUUGGGGGUUUUUUGGGAAUUCAGGGCGGGAUUUGUGGGAAUGGCGAUGCCCAACCCGACCGUGGAGUUCCUACCUCGAUCUGCGAGGGGUUUUUUUGGGGUUUUUUUGGGGUUUUUUGGGAAUUCAGGGUGGGAUUUGUGGGAAUGGUGAUGCCCAACCCGACCGUGGAGUUCCUACCUCGAUCUGCGAGGGGGUUUAGGGUUUUUUGGGGGUUUUUUUGGGAAUUUGGAGUGGGAUUUGUGGGAAUGGUGAUGCCCAACCCGACCGGGGAGUUCCUACCUCGAUCUGCGAGGGGUUUUUUGGGUUUUUUGGGGUUUUUUGGGAAUUUGGAGCGGGAUUUGUGGGAAUGGCGAUGCCCAACCCGACCGUGGAGUUCCUACCUCGAUCUGCGAGGGGUUUUUUUGGGUUUUUUGGGGUUUUUGGGGGUUUUUUGGGAAUUCAGGGUGGGAUUUGUGGGAAUGGUGAUGCCCAACCCGACCGUGGAGUUCCUACCUCGAUCUGCGAGGGGUUUUUUUGGGUUUUUGGGGGUUUUUUGGGAAUUCAGGGAGGGAUUUGUGGGAAUGGUGAUGCCCAACCCGACCGUGGAGUUCCUACCUCGAUCUGCGAGGGGUUUUUUUGGGUUUUUUGGGGGUUUUUUGGGAAUUUGGAGCGGGAUUUGCGGGAAUGGUGAUGCCCAACCCAACCAUGGAGUUCCUACCUCGAUCUGCGAGGGGUUUUUUAUGGAUUUGGGGGGUUUUUUGGGAAUUUGGAGAGGGAUUUGUGGGAAUGGUGACGCCCAACCCGACCGUGGAGUUCCUACCUCGAUCUGAGAGGGGUUUUUUGGGUUUUUUUGGGGUUUUUUGGGUUUUUUGGGGGUUUUUUGGGAAUUUGGAGAGGGAUUUGUGGGAAUGGUGACGCCCAACCCGACCGUGGAGUUCCUACCUCGAUCUGCGAGGGGUUUUUUGGGUUUUUUGGGGUUUUUUUGGGAAUUUGGAGAGGGAUUUGUGGGAAUGGUGACGCCCAACCCGACCGUGGAGUUCCUACCUCGAUCUGCCAGGGGUUUUUUGGGUUUUUUGGGGGUUUUUUGGGAAUUUGGAGAGGGAUUUGUGGGAAUGGUGAUGCCCAACCCAACCAUGGAGUUCCUACCUCGAUCUGCGAGGGGUUUUUUGGGUUUUUUGGGGUUUUUUGGGAAUUUGGAGUGGGAUUUGUGGGAAUGGUGAUGCCCAACCCGACCGUGGAGUUCCUACCUCGAUCUGCGAGGGGUUUUUUUGGGUUUUUUGGGGGUUUUUUGGGAAUUCAGAGAGGGAUUUGUGGGAAUGGUGAUGCCCAACCCGACCGUGGAGUUCCUAGCUCGAUCUGCGAGGGGGUUUUCGGGUUUUUUGGGGUUUUUUGGGAAUUCAGAGUGGGAUUUGCGGGAAUGGUGAUGCCCAACCCGACCGUGGAGUUCCUACCUCGAUCUGCGAGGGGUUUUUUGGUUUUUUGGGGGUUUUUUGGGAAUUCAGAGCGGGAUUUGUGGGAAUGGUGAUGCCCAACCCAACCAUGGAGUUCCUAUCUCGAUCUGCGAGGGGGUUUUUGGGGUUUUUUGGGUUUUUUUUGGGAAUUCAGGGUGGGAUUUGUGGGAAUGGUGACGC
rnacentral:lncRNA from 1 species